AGUGAACGCUGGCGGUAGGCCUAACACAUGCAAGUCGAACGGCAGCACAGUAAGUGCUUGCUCUUACGGGUGGCGAGUGGCGUACGUGUGAGGAAUACAUCGGAAUCUACUUUUUCGUGGGGGAUAACGUAGGGAAACUUACUCUAAUACCGCAUACGUCCUACGGUUGUAAGCAGUGGAUCUUCUGACCUUUCUCUAUUGAUUUAGCCGAUGUCGGAUUAGCUAGUUGGCGGGGUAAAGGCCCACCAAGGCGACGAUCCGUAGCUGGUCUGAGAGGAUGAUCAGACACACUGGAGCUGAGACACGGUCCAGACUACUACGGGAGGAAGCAGUGGGGAAUAUUGGACAAUGGGCGCAAGCCUGAUCCAGCAAUACCGCGUGGGUGAAGAAGGCCUUCGGGUUGUAAAGCCCUUUUGUGGGGAAAGAAAAGCAGCAGGUUAAUACCACGAUGUUCUGACGGUACCAAAAGAAUAAGCACCGGCUAACUUCGUG
rnacentral:rRNA from 1 species